ACAUGUACAAAAUUUUCAAGUCUACUAUGAGCCCGUGUAUAAAUAUAAAAAUGGUAUACAGGGGGUAGUGCCUAUCUGAUAGGUGGCACCAAUGACCCCUAUCUGAUAGGCGGCACCAAUGAAACAAUUUUAGGGUCUUAUUUAAUGGUCUCGGUGAAGAAGAGGAUUAGGGUUAAAAAAAUAGCAAAAGAGAAGGAAGAAGAGAGGGAGAAAAAAGAAAAAAAGAAAGGAGAAGAAAAAAGAAGGAUAAUGUAUUUUUGUUUUUUUUUUUUAAAAUAGAAUGGAUUAUGAUGAGGAUAAAUUAUUUUGUUAGUAUUUUGUAGUUUGUUUAUUGUUAUUUUUAUGUUAUUUUUAAUUUAUUUUAAAGUUAUUUUGUUAGUAAGUUUUGUGAUUAGGUUAAUUGUUUGUUUAGGGUUUAUUGUGAUUUGUUAGGUUAUGAAUGUAAUUUUUAAUAUUUU
rnacentral:lncRNA from 1 species